rnacentral:misc_RNA from 1 species
GUUAGUAGGUAUUUAUUAUGUCUAUUUUUGUAUUUUUAACGAGUAGUAGGUACGUGGUAUAAAAACGAUAGUAUCAAGUGUCUAUAGUCAGUGGGUAGAUUAGAUUCGCAUUAGUUCUAGAACAUUCAUCGCGUGUGUGUUAUAGUUUUGUAUGUUUAAUUUUCAUAUAACGAACAUUUGUUUAAUUUUUGUCACUCUAUCAAUAUGCUAAAAGAAAAAUCGACAAAAACUUAUCGUUUGCGUAAUUUUGUAAUCGAGUUUGGUGAAUCUGUAUUUUCAACUGAUAAUCUUAUUUUAUUUUGUAAAAUCUGUAACGUGAAAGUAGCAAGCAAAAAACGUUUUAGUAUCAUACAACACCUAAAAACUGAAAAACACAUCAGAAGUGCAGCACGUUUAGAAAACAAUAAAACAAAUAAUGUGCAACAAUUGGUUACAAAUCAAAAAUCAAAACUAUCGGAAUUCAAUUCAGAUUUAUAAAAAUAUAUGCAAAGAGAUAUACCUGACGAAUCGACACUUCGAAAAUAUUAUGUAAACGAUUGUUACAAUCAGACAAUCAGACAAUGGAUAAAAUAAGGGUCACUGUCCAGGAUAAAAAAAUAUGGGUGUCAAUUGAUGAGACUACCAACAGCAAUGGAAGGGUUGCAGAGGAGGUUUGUAACAUGUUUCCAAAAGUAGACAAACUAAUUUCAAAUGUUAAAAAAAACUUUUUUAAAAGCACCAUAUCGAGUCCAAAUUUUUAAAAACGAAGCUCCUGAAGUAAUGCUCCCCCUGAACCUAUAAUUACUCGUUGAGAGACGUGGUUAGAUGCAACAGACUAUUAUUGUAAACAUAUACAAAGCAUUCCAAAUGUUUUUAUGAAGUUGGAUGACGAUUCAGCUUCUAUAUUAAAAGUAAAAAAUAUUUUGGAUGACAAUUAGACGCAAACGUGAUUUGUAUUACAGCCAAGUUUGGAAUUAUAUCUAAAUCGAUUACCCAGCUUGAAAAACGUGGAUUAAAACUAGUCGAUUAAAUUAACAUUGUAAACAGAAUGAUAGACGAUAUGAACAUAAUUGAUACACACUCGAAGAGUAUAAAAUCAGUAGUGGAAAAACUUAAAAAAGUAAUAGAAAAAAACAAAGGUUUCAAUACGCUUCGUAUAAUUUCAAAUAUUUUAAAUGACACUGAGGAAAACAUUGAUGAAUUAGGAGAUUUGAAUGCUAGUGAAAUGGUUUACUUCAAAUAUGCACCGAUCACGUCAAUGGACGUCGAACGAAGUUUUUCGCGAUAUAAGAACUUGCUGACAAAUAAAAGACGUUCUCUGCUAUUUGAAAAUAUCAAAGAAAUGUUAAUAAUUCAGUGCAAUUCUAAUUUAGGUAAGGUAAAUAUUUGAGAAUAAUUCAACAAUUAUUUUAACAUACCUUUUUUGUGCAAAAUAAUA